rnacentral:lncRNA from 1 species
CUUCUCUCUCCUUUCGCACGGAAUCCACCCUACUGUGAUCUCCGAUUCUCUUCAUAAAGCCUCCCAGAAGGCUGUCGAUGUGCUAACCGCCAUGGCGAUUCCUGUUGAGCUCUCGGAUCGUGAAUCGCUUAUCAAAUCUGCAAGCACUUCGCUUAACAGCAAGGUCGUGAGCCAGUACUCUAGUCUGCUCGCUCCUUUAGCCGUAGACGCUGUAUUGUCGGUUGUGGAUCCUGCCAAGCCCGAUUUGGUUGACCUGCGGGACAUCAAAAUCGUGAAGAAACUAGGCGGGACAGUUGAUGAUACCGAACUCGUUAAAGGUCUAGUGUUCGACAAGAAGGCGAGCCACGCCGCUGGUGGGCCUACUCGUGUUGAAAAUGCGAAGAUUGGGGUGAUUCAGUUCCAGAUUUCACCGCCAAAGACCGAUAUUGAGCAAAGCAUUGUGGUUUCGGAUUAUACUCAGAUGGACAGGAUAUUGAAGGAGGAGAGGAACUAUAUAUUAG